rnacentral:lncRNA from 1 species
AACCUUUAUGAGCAGACCAAUUGGCAACAACCUACUGCCUGAUUACAGUGCCAGGAGCACAACAAAGAGCAGAGACCAUGUCUAUGCAGCAUUUGAAGAUCUCAAAGAAGGAGGCUCUACAGUCUCUCUGGGCAGCUUGUGCCAGUGCACUCUCAUGUGCACAGCACAGAAAUGCUUCCUGAUAUGUUGAUGGAACCUCUUUGUUCCAGUUUUUUUCUGUUGUUUCUUGUCCUGGCACAGAAGAGUGUGGUUCUAUCCACACUGCUGAGAUUUCCCUGGUCCUCAUGCAAGCUGAGAAAUCCCAGCCCUCAGCAUUUCAGCACAGACAGAAAUCAGUUAUGUAAAGUCUUCUGCAAAUAUUCAGUGUGCUGGCUCUUCUUAGAACUGUCCCUGUGUCAACACAGACUGCCUGACACUCAUCAGAAGAUCUACCAAUGAGAGAAGAAAUACAAAAAAUAACACAUGAUGUUCUUUUAUAUAAAAAUAUAAAAAUAUUUAGAUAUAAAUAUAUAUUCCAUGUUAACAAUAAGGCUUCUUCUCAUGUUUUUCAUUUUUCCUCUUGUGACUUUAAGAUUUUGUACUGACUGGAUGCAAGAGAGUAUUACUAAAUAAAAGUAAAGUUCACAGACA